GCUGCCCUGCCCAAGGCCCUACCCCCUCUGCAGUUGGGGUUUGGGGGGCAGCACGCAUCCUGUGGCUGGCUGGCCCCUUGCCUUGUCUAGACAACUCUGACAGCAGUCCAUGGGAUUGCUGAAGGCCUUUAUUGCAACAGAAUCAUAAUUCAAUUUCUCCCUCUAUGGAAUCCUUUUUCUCUUCUUUAUAGGUAUUGAUCCUAAAAGCACUCCCCAGUAAAAGUCCUGCAUGUAAAUCUCCACCUCAGACCCUGUUUCUCAGAAAUGCAAUGAUCAACUAUGUGGAGGAGAUAUGUGAGAAAUGCCUUAGCAGACGAUGAAGAAAGAGAUCAAAAGGCUCCGAGAAGCAGGAAUGCUAUGGUGGAUAUGCAGUCAGCUCUCUGUAUCUGUGGGUUCAUUCAACCUCGGACUGAAAAUAUUCAGCAUUUGGGAAAAAAGUGGCAUCCCAUACUCAACAUGAUGUGAAUUGUCCCUUUGUCCAGUGGAUACACACUGUCUACACUUCCCUCCAGUUAGCCGCUUCACCAUCUCGGUGAUCAGAUGGACUGUCAAG